AUUCCUACGGGAGGCAGCAGUAGGGAAUCUUCCGCAAUGGACGAAAGUCUGACGGAGCAACGCCGCGUGAGUGAUGAAGGUUUUCGGAUCGUAAAACUCUGUUAUCAGGGAAGAACAAGUAUCGGAGUAACUGCCGGUACCUUGACGGUACCUGACCAGAAAGCCACGGCUAACUACGUGCCAGCAGCCGCGGUAAUAAU
rnacentral:rRNA from 1 species